CGGCUAUAAUAACACAUACAGUCAGUACACCCAGCCUGCAUGGAAAAACGCCGGAGGAGCUCACCCUUCUCCUCAUCCAGUUACGGAGACACCAGGCCAUGAUGGCAGGUGUGCGCAACAAUGCGCUGGCCCACCUCCAGCAGUUGUCUCGGGUGAAGGCUGAUGACACAUACAUGCACUUGAAGAAGGACCUGGAAUAUUUAGAUCUGAAGGUGGGACCUCUCCAUUUCUGUCUCUCUAUUCCUGUCUUACCUUCUGUAUUAACACACUAACACAGCACAGAAACCUCACUUGAGGCAAGGAAUCAAGAAUUGGCUUUAUUUC